UUACAACCCGAAAAACCUAAAAAUGCUUCAAGUUCGCACCUAUAUUGGUAAGUUAGCAGCAACUUGAAGCUUUUUUCCUCUUUUCCGGCCACCUUCAGCGACCUCACCCCAAAGGUAAAAACCGCAUACCUUGAAAACUUUGGAGACCACACCUACCAAUUGCGCUAUUAACCUUCAUAAGUGACAUCCACCACCGAAAAAAUCCAGAUUAACUACCACCUGUGAAGCUGGAAAUCAUUCAAAUCCUGCGUUUUUGAAUGGUUAAUAUUUUUAUGGUGGGUUUCUGUUUUUUUAUAAUUUCUUUAGGGCUACAACUCUUGUAAUUUUUGUGGUGGUAUGUUUCACUAUUGGUUAGGGUUUUUGUGUUAGUAUGUUUCAAAUAAUAAUUAUUUAACAAUUUUCACUCAAACAACAUCAAAUUAGAGAUGGAUAUGUCACGAAACUUGGUUGUUUAUUGGUACUUUAGCAUGUACAUGAGUUGGGUUUGACCUAAACACUACAGAGGAUGAUGCAUCUCUAUGAGAAGUUCUUAGUUUGGGCAACUUAUUAACUUUGAUGCGCUAAGCUUUAUUAGGUUUGUUUGUGGAGUUUGGUUUGGUGUGGAUGACACCACAUUCCAUAUUUGAUAUGUUGGUUGCCUCUAGUUCGACUCUAUUGCAGGGGAAAGAAAAGUGUUUUGUUUGUUUAAUUCUGAAAUUUUUAAUUGUAUAUGAUUUAAAUUUUUAAUAAAUUAAAAUAUAUGAGCAGUCAAUCUAGUUUAUUUCAUCAGCUAGUGAUAGACAGCUAUGGGUCUUGAUUAGGGGAAGAAAAUGGGAAAAAUGGAGUUUUAGCCUAGUUAUGGUAUACGAGUCUCUUUCAUCAUAUAUAACAACUGGUCAUUCUCUACUUAUUAGCUCACUUGAAUUCUCUCAUUUGGCUUGGGAUCACUGGUUCAUGUUGAGGAUCUUGAAAAGUGACAAAUUGAUUUUGAAAGGAAAAUGUUCUUGGUGAAGGUGAAUAUGGGUUUAUUUACUCAAUGGACCUCUAAUGGCAGUUAAAAAGACCAUUACCAAUCUGUGAGUUUGAACAUGGCUCUAUCGUAUUUACAACUUUGUUAUGGUUAUUUAUUUAUUCCUCUUUGUUAUGGUUUCUUAUUUAUUCCUCUAGUGAUAUCAUCUAGAGUUUAACUUUCUAAACUUAUUUUCUCUAGGGAUUGUAGAGAUAGAAUUUACAGUUGAAGUUGAUGCUAUGUGCACCAUAAUAAGUGGGUUAGACUUCUUGUAUACUACAUUGAAGGGAACCAUAGUUACGUACUCUUUUUCUUCUAAAUAUCUAGUUAAAUAGUUUGUUUGCUUGUUUUCCAUGUUUGGCUUAAAUAUUUGACAAGUUGCAUCAUCACCUAAAUUUUAGGAUCUAGGUUACUGAUAUGAGACAAAAAAAAAAAAAAAAAAACCUUUGGUGAUUACCAAGGUUUAUAAUUUCAACUUGGCCAAGUUGUUGGCUACUAGGAAAAGUCAUGACAACUUAACUUUUAGGAAUUAGGAAUCCUGUAGGAAAAUUAAAGUUGUUUUGCAUUCCUAUGCCUUUGAACAAGUCAAAAGGAAAAAUAAAUAAAUAAAUAAAAAAGUUAGAAUGAAAAUAGCAUUUUAAAAUAAGAAUAUAUCAAACUAGAAAUGUUAAGUUAUUAAAUGGAAGAAAGAACGAAAGAUUACAAAUGCAAUCUUAGAAUUGAUUAAUUUUAUUGUUUAUACUAUUUCUAAAAUAAUAGUAAGAAAAAAAAAUUAUAAUAUGGUAUUUUCCAUAUAAAAGGAGAUUAAGAUAUCGUUUAGGCACAUUGCAUCGUUUUGUUUAUUUCUAUACUUUCCUUUUAAUAUGAAUAAUUUGAGAUAAAAUAAUAGAUAAAUAAUUAUAUCAAUAAUUAUAUCAUGAAGUGAAUUUGUUUCUUUAAGAUAAAUGAUAACUUAAGAUAUCUUCUAACCUUUGGUUCCAAUAAAAAAACACUUAAAAAGAAAAAAAUGAUAAAGAAAUAAUUUUCUCAAAUUUGAUUCACCUUAAAAAAUGUGAAAUAAAAUCAAACAUAAUUUUAAUAAAUUACAACCUCAUAUAUUUUAAAUUAUUUAAUCUUUAUAUAAAAUAAAAUUAAUGUAAAUAAAAUGUCAAUAAGUUUGUAAAAAUAAUUUUAAAUUUUAUAACUAUUUAUAUUUUUCUUUCUCUUUUUCCUUUCUUCUAAUUUUUUUUUUCCUUAAAUUUUUCCAAGAAUCAAAUAUAAGAUAAAAGAUUUUUCAAGGGAAAUAAUUUUCCAAGAGUUUUCUGAACUAAAUACUUCUAUGUUUAGGGCUAAUAUUAUGAAUUCACUGUACAACUAUAUUUGUAUUUAUUAAUUCAUUUAUUCUUAUAUGUCACUUGAAUGAUGCUAUACUAGAAGUAUUGGUGACUUGAUUAGAAACUGGGGCUAUAUUGUUUUCUAAAUUUUAAACUAUUUAGUUAAUAAUCAAAUUUAGAAAUGAUUAACCUAUACUAGAAUAAAACAAAGGAAGUGUUGAAUGAUAUUGAUUGACAAGAGACUAUUUUGAAAUGUUCUUAAGAGCUAUGAUUAAAAUAUGGGAAUGGAUUUUUGAUCAUUGUGAAUAUAUCAAACAUUAAUUGCAUAUAUGGAAGGAUGAAGUAUACUUUUUUUUUUUUCCCUUUUGCUUUCCUUUUUGUUGACUAUAAUUAAAGAUAAUUCAUUCGUUUUUUCACGUUAAGAUUGUUCAACUAAUUUGAUUAAAGUUAGUACUAUUAAAGUUUGUUUGUAGGCUUAACAAGUCCAAGAUUCAUACGGAAAUAAUGAUAUAUAUGUUAGCUUAUAUAGUUAACAAAUCUCUUUUCUUAAAUAUCAAUUUGCAAUUAUGGGAUAGUUAAUAUUAAAAGUAUAACAAUUGAUUAUUUUACUGAUUUUAGAAGUUGAAUGUUUGUGUUUAAUUAAGUCUACUUAAUUCCCAUUUUGAUAUCUAUAAUCCAUGUUUACAAUUGGGGAGAUUUGCUCCAUAUUGAGUUAAGGCAAAGUUUUCAUGAUUCAUGGGUUUUUUAAUAAACACACACAUCACUUCAAGAUUCAAAUUGGGUUAUUGGCCAAUAAUUAUUGGGUGUUUAUAGGAAGUAAAAUGAUAUCACUUUAAGAUUCAAUUUGGGUUCUUUAGGCUGAUAUUUAUUAGGGUUUCUGUAGGUAAUAAUAUGAUAUAGGAUGUAAGAAGUAGAAAUUAAUAUGUUAAUUAAGUAGCAAUAGCAUGCAAAAAAAGUUUUUUAUUUUUCUUAUUCUUUUUUCUAUGUUCAGCCUUGGUAUUUUAUUAUUUUUCUUUGAUCCUCUUAUCAAUUAUUAUUCCUUAGAUUUUUUGUUUGACCUUUAUAUAUUUGUUCCACGAGAAUAUGACAUGCUGAAUAUGUUUGAUUUUGAUAAGUUGAAGACAAAAAUUUGAUUUUAUCAAGCAUUUUGUUAAUAAAAUGGACAACUUCUUUUCUUCAUAGUUACAUUGUUUGAUAUGAUUUACUAUUGAAGUAAAAUAAUUUUUUAUUUUCAUUAACUUUUAAUAAUUAUUGUGUUUAAAUCAUGCCUGGAAGGAAUAAUUAUGUUAUAUUCUUGUAUUUGCUAAAUUUUUAGUAUUUAUUAGUUCUUUGUUUUGUUGCUAAUAAAAUAGAGGAUAAGUGAUGAAGUGAUUACAUUGUUAGGCAUACUGGAAAUUGCAAUCCACAAUACAUGAGGUGCACCAUCAAUCAGGUAAUAAUCAAUUGUUUAAAAUGCUCGAAUAUACUACUAUGAUUUGUUUGCUUAAAAUCAUAAAGACCAUUGAUAUUAUUAUCAAUUUCUUAUGUUGCUUCAACAAAUCCCAUGCACUACUGACCUUUUGACUACAUCAGGAAUGCAAUUAGCCUUGUUGGUCCAACCUUUAGCCCUUCCUCAUCCAUCUGAGGAGCACAUCCAAGUAAUGUAUUGAUUGCUUUAUUUUCCUAUCUUUCGUUAAGGUUUUGGUGAACGAUUUUGCUUUCACUUUCAUGUUUGUAUAUGUUAGGUUUAUUUAUUCUUAUGCCUUUCUCUAAAAAUGGGUUUUUCUUGUUCACUGGUUAAUGAAGCAUGAUUUGGAAUUUGAAAAGCUUAUAAGUGGACUAUUACCCUUUUCCUUAGAGAUUAGGGAAAAGGAAGAAAGUAAUAGUUUUUUUAUUGAGAGGGUGUUUUGAUAUGUCUAGAAGUAAGAAUGGAGAAGAAAUAAAUCUUCCCUUUUCCAAGGGGCUUCUUUGUUUGAGGGUUUAGUGAAUUGAUAAAGGUAUGUUUCACAAUCUAGGAGGGUGUUACUUCAAUUUACUUUUAAGUUCCAUGUGGAGGGGAAUAAAUAACAAUUUUGAAGGAGAGUAGUUGUUUUAUGGGAUAAUUGGGUUUUAGAGGUUAUUGAGAUGGAGGUGUGUGCUUUUUCCAUUUCUUGCCAAUUCAUGAGCUAUGAGGAUAAUUUUGUAUUAAUUUUUACUAAGGUGUAUGAGCCUUUUCUUAGGGAACAAAGAGAGGACUUUUGGGAAGAAUUGACUGACAUUAGAGGGUUUUGGACUGUUAUUAAAUAGUAAAAACAUUUUAGUUGUCAAAAUGUGAAAAUAAUCAUAAUCUUUUAAAAAUAUGACAUAUGAGCUUUUGUUAAAAAAUAUUCAUCAUUAGAAGAUGUUUGACUACUAUUAUGUUAUAGAUAUUUUUCUCCAUAUUUUUUUUUAUGCAGGCCAAUUUAUUUUUUAUUAAGUUGUAGAAUUUAUAUAGUUGUUGUUAGCUUUGAUAGUAAUAAAUAAGAUGAAUGAUAAGUAUGAUACAAUUGGCCUCCAUUUGGGAUGCAAUGUUGCAUUAAUGCUUAUCAAAUGGUAGGAAAUGUUAAUCCUUUUAACUUAACAAAAAACUUAGUUGAUAAAGUAUCAUGGUGUGAACCCUAUUUAUUUCAUGUUACACCAUAUUCCCAAACCUUCCUUUGUUGAUGUUGCGCAUUCGAUGAGGUCUAUUAUUACUAGGCGAUGCCUAAUUGAAUAUUUUAAUGGACUAUUGAUGUUGAUGUUCUCUUGUCCCAAACUUAGUUGGUUUAUUUUUCUAUUUUCUUUUGGGUUAUACUAAAGAUUUAAUGGAUUAUUGAUGUUGAUAUUUUCUUGUCCUAUAUUUGAUUAAUCUCUUGCUUUGUGUUAUAACCAUUGAUAGUAAUUUUUUUGUAAUUAUUCUUAGGGUCACAUAUGUCGAUUGGUAUACACAUUUGUUUUCCUCUUAUAUUGUCAUUAUCAUUUCUUUCUUUCUAUUUCUAAAAGUGUUCACUUAUAUAUCUUUUUUUGAAAUUGUAAUUGAUUUUAGUUUUUUGUGCAUGUAGGUCAUCUUUUUGGGAAAUUAACCUUAUAGUUGGAUAAACUACCAUGAAGCAUUAUGUUGAAGACCAAGGCAUAAUUGGGUUGCAUGUAAAGAAAAAAUGGACCAUUUUAAGGAACUAAACAUUAAAGUUGUGACUUUUAUUUUUUUUGGUUAUUUUAAUAUCUUUUAGUUUUUUUGUGUUUCUUAUACAAG
rnacentral:lncRNA from 1 species